rnacentral:rRNA from 1 species
GACGAAGGAUGCAAGCGUUAUCCGGAUUCAUUGGGUUUAAAGGGAGCGUAGGUGGCCUUAUAAGUCAGUGGUGAAAUCUCUCAGCUUAACUGAGAAAUUGCCAUUGAUACUGUAGGGCUUGAGUAUAGUUGCCGUUGGCGGAAUAUGACAUGUAGUGGUGAAAUACAUAGAGAUGUCAUAGAACACCGAUUGCGAAGGCAGCUGACGAAACUAUAACUGACACUGAGGCUCGAAAGUGCGGGGAUCAAACAGG